rnacentral:rRNA from 1 species
UAGAGUUUGAUCCUGGCUCAGAACGAACGCUGGCGGCGUGGAUAAGACAUGCAAGUCGGACGAGACUUUUCGUUGUAGCAAUACGAUGGAAAGUCUAGUGGCGAACGGGUGCUUAACACGUGGGCAACCUGCCAGGAAGUGGGGGACAGCUCGCCGAAAGGCGGAUUAAUACCGCAUGUGAUUAGAGAGGACAUCCUUUCGAAAUUAAAGUCGGGGCAACCUGACGCUUCUUGUGGGGCCCGCGGCCUAUCAGCUAGUUGGUGAGGUAACGGCUCACCAAGGCUUUGACGGGUAGCUGGUCUGAGAGGACGACCAGCCACACUGGGACUGAGACACGGCCCAGACACCUACGGGUGGCGGCAGUCGAGAAUUUUUGACAAUGGGGGAAACCCUGAUCGAGCGACGCCGCGUGGAGGAUGAAGGUCUUCGG